UACGUAGGAGCGAGCGUUGUCCGGAUUUAUUGGGCGUAAAGCGCGCGUAGGCGGUUUGGUAAGCCGGGUGUGAAACCUCCAAGCUCAACUUGGAGCGGCCACUCGGAAACUGCCCAUACUCGAGUCAGGUAGGGGGAACACGGGAAUUCCAGGUGUAGCGGUGAAAUGACUUAGAUAUCUGGCAGGAACACCAGUGGCGAAGGCGGUGUUCUGGGCCUGUACUGACGCUGAUGCGCGAAAGCGUGGGGAGCGAACAGG
rnacentral:rRNA from 1 species